AAUAAAAGAAAUGCAAGCUUCUCUGUAGUUAGAGUGAAUGUUUUGGUGAGAGUGAGUGAGUGUUUUGGAGCAGAGUGAGAGAGAGCAAGAGCAAAGUGAAUGAGGAGUUGCAUGAGUUGGAGGUGUUGGUGCUGCUGCUGCUGCUACAAUGUUGAGCUUCUGAAGUUUGAGAUACAGAGAGUCUGUAGGAACACUAAAGAUCAGAGAGAAGAGCUAAACGAUGGUGAAGAUCAAAUGAAAUCAUCACCAACACCAUCAUCGCCAUCAUCUUUUACCUGCCUCUCCCUAUGCAUUGAGAUGCACAUUCCAGAUUCAAGUGAACAUCUUUUCCUCCUGUUGCCGCAUAAACUUUUGGUCUACUGAAUAUGUUUUUCCUACACUGUCAUUUCCUCCCUACAAUUUUCUUUGAGCAAGAGUCCUGGAUUCUGCCUCCUAUUUUAUAGUAGCUGUCACCAUGACACAUCUAUUUCCUGGUAACAGGAACAAAAUGGGUGAGUUCCUUCAUGGUUGCUGUCAGCUAAGCACUGCGCUCUGGAGGUAUUCUCAAAGAUUCUGUUUGUUCUGGUUCAUAAAAAUUCAUCUUCUUUUUAAAGACUCAAGACGUCAGCCCUGAUAUCUAUUUUGACAAGGAUCCAUUUAGAUUGCUCCCAGUUCUGGUUCUCUUGCAUGAUCAGACAAUAUGCUGCUGCCACACCAUUUCACAGAAUAAGUGGUGGUAUGCAGUAAUUCUUUAAAAAAUAUCUUAAUUUACCAUCACGUCAGUCUUUGAUAGAUCCUUCUUUUUUAUGCCUUUAAAAAUGGUGUGAAUAUUUCAAGUUAAUAGAAUAAAGGAGCUUUGUUAUUGAGUAUUAAGAAAGACCACCUGACAUUUAUUUAUUGCAUAUAUUGUAUUUUUAUAUGUUACACAUUUAUUGAUAUUUCUAAAUAGUUUAUUUAACAUGGAUAGGUCAUACACGUGAGAGGUCAACAUUGAUUGAUUGUGGAUGUAGCCACAUAGAGGAGUGAACGAUAAUUUAGUGCUCAUAUGAACAAUACGAAUAAGA
rnacentral:lncRNA from 11 species